rnacentral:rRNA from 1 species
GAAGUAAAAGUCGUAACAAGGUUUCCGUAGGUGAACCUGCGGAAGGAUCAUUACUGAACACCAGUAACCGGACGGUAGAGGGAAGGGGUCGAAAGGCCCCGGAACUCCCAUCCUCACCCUUGCAUACCUUCCACGUUGCUUUGGCGGGCCGACCCGGUUUCGACCCGGGCGGCCGGCGCCCCCAGCCCCUCGGGGCCAGGACGCCCGGUCACGCGUCCGCCAGUAAACAAAACUCCAGCGAUUAUUCAGUGUCGUCCUGAUAAAACAUUCAAAUGAAUUAAAACUUUCAACAACGGAUCUCUUGGUUCUGGCAUCGAUGAAGAACGCAGCGAAAUGCGAUAAGUAAUGUGAAUUGCAGAAUUCAGUGAAUCAUCGAAUCUUUGAACGCACAUUGCGCCCUCUGGUAUUCCGGAGGGCAUGCCUGUCCGAGCGUCAUUUCAACCCUCAAGCUCUGCUUGGUAUUGGGCGACGUCCGCUGCCGGACGCGCCUCGAAGACCUCGGCGACGGCGUCUCAGCCUCGAGCGUAGUAGAAUCUAUCUCGCUUUGGAGGAGGGGACGGCGGCCGCCGGACAAACCGACCUAGUCUAAUUUUUCUAAGGUUGACCUCGGAUCAGGUAGGGAUACCCGCUGAACUUAAGCAUAUC